GACGAACGCUGGCGGCGUGCUUAACACAUGCAAGUCGAACGGAAAGGCCCUGCUUUUGUGGGGUGCUCGAGUGGCGAACGGGUGAGUAACACGUGAGUAACCUGCCCUUGACUUUGGGAUAACUUCAGGAAACUGGGGCUAAUACCGGAUAGGAGCUCCUGCUGCAUGGGGGGGGUUGGAAAGUUUCGGCGGUUGGGGAUGGACUCGCGGCUUAUCAGCUUGUGGGUGGGGUAGUGGCUUACCAAGGCUUUGACGGGUAGCCGGCCUGAGAGGGUGACCGGCCACAUUGGGACUGCGAUGCGGCCCAGACUCCUACGGGAGGCAGCAGUGGGGAAUAUUGCACAAUGGGCGGAAGCCUGAUGCAGCAACGCCGCGGGCGGGAUGACGGCCUUCGGGUUGUAAACCGCUUUCGCCUGUGACGAAGCGUGAGUGACGGUAAUGGGUAAAGAAGCACCGGCUAACUACGUG
rnacentral:rRNA from 1 species